GGGUGACUAGUCUAGUGGUCAGGACGCUUCGUUGUGGAAUUCAAGUAAUUUCAUACUACGAAUCCGAAGAAACCCCGGUUCGAUUCCGGGGUCGCCCA